UGGGAUUUCUUUGAACCUGAUACUGAGAGGU
rnacentral:piRNA from 1 species